UGGAGCUGACUGAGAAAAAAGCUGAAUGAUCAUAUUGGAAAUGCAGGACAAGUGCUGUUCUUUGAGACGAUAAAAGCAUCUGGCUGAAUAAGGGGCACACGCCCCAGGCAACGCUAGAUGAGGCUUUCCGCUAAUGUGUGGUGUUGAGGAUUUGAUCCAACGCAGGAGCCUCGGUGGGGAGCAGGCACCUCAGGUCCUCACACAGCCACACAGCCACCUGUGAAAGGGCGAGGAGGGGAGGAGGCGUCUUGAUCAGGAGAUUUUUCAGCUUUGGCAGGGCCUGCGGGGAGACAGACUGAGUGACAAGACACUGACACUCAGAAAUAAAAGGACGGGAAGAUUAUCUUGUCUGAUUUGUGGAGGUUUCAGUCCAGAGGCGCUGGCUCCAGUGCACGAAGGCAUGGACGCAGGCUGAGCCUGGGAGAGCAGUUCCCCGCAGGUCCCAGCUCCGGAGACACCGGCUGUGAAGGCCUGAAAUCCACUCACCUUCCAGGGUCCCUCCUGCGUAUGGUCCCAAGAGGCUUCGAGGGACACUGAGACACAACCACAGCACCGACUGUGUUUUCUUUUCCACACAAAACUGAGUCUACUUAGUGGCUCAGUUAAUUAAACUUUUUGCCAACGAGUUAAACUUUCAUCUCUGUUUCAGGGAGUUGGCUUUUCCUUUUCAGACUCUCCUUCUCCCUGGGAAGCCGAUUUGCACAAUGUGUACUAUUAUUUCUCACAAAGGGUGUGGGAGGAUGAGAACGAUCAAAGAAGCACUGGGCAGAACAAAUCCAAGUAGUGUCUUGCUGAUCGCGAGCCACUGUUUCCAGGGCAGCCUGCCAGUGAGUGGUGAAGCGGGGACCCUGAGGCCCCUGCUGCCAAGUUGCGUGUAGAAUUCUGACCUCCAUCACACCUUGUCCUCCAAGUAUGUGUUUUGGGAUAAGGAGCAGCAUGCCUUGGCCUGCUAAAGCCCCACUCUCUGCAAUGAGGGUAGGUUGGGUGUGAAAAUCACUGGCGUCUACACUGAAGAUGCUACACUGUACCCUUCAAUAUUCACUGCUUUUGACACAGUCACAGGGACUGAAGAACAAAUGAUAUAACCGGAAACCUUCCCGAGGGGAGAAACAAAAACACGGUGUGUGUAAACUGUUGUAAUUGUCAUUUAUUGUUCACUGUCACAACUUUCUUUAGAAUUCUGACUCAUUUGCCUUGAUAUACAAGAAGCCAAGCCAGUACUUGUGACCAUCCCAGAGAAGGGAAACUAUGGCUUUAUACUGAAUCAUGCCUACUCCGGUAGGCAUGGAGCAGCUGAUCAGGAGCCCCUCCUGCUAAGAGAAUAAAGAUUGCCCAGCUUCACUCUGUUUCUCCUUACCGUCCCUGAGCCUGCUGGAUUAGUAAACACAUUCAGUAUUUGAUCACUUCACAUCAAUUAUGCAGAAACAUAGUACUAUGAAUGUAGCUUUAUUUUUAUUUUGCCAAUAUUGUUAAUUAUCUGCAACAUCCUUAUAAUCUGUUUUAAUAGAAGAGCAAAAAUGAUCCUUUUGAAGUGUUAAACUGUGCUCAGAAUGCUCUAAUUGACUCAGUUUUAUGAGAGUAAAUCCUCACAUGUAAUAAUGGCCUUGAAGAUUUUGACUGCUUUUCCCAACAAUUUAUCUUUGACUCAUUUCCUCUGUACAUUGCUUCUUAUCAGGAAUAAAUUAUGAGUAUUUGGUCAUAGGAA